CGCGGCCAUGCCACCCCCCCCGCGGGAGGGUUGGUCUCUUCCACCCCCGCGCCCCCCCGCCCUGCCCCGCCGCAAUGGUCUGUUCCGCGCGGGGAGGGGGAGCUGUAUCCGCGGCUGGAGAUUGGGAAGUGCGUGUCAAGGGAGCGUGUGGGAGUGGCGGGAAUAGCGGGAAAGGCAAAGGCAACCGGUCUAACCGCACAGCUGAGCAAAGCCCCUGCCUCCAAGGCCUCCCCUGAGGGCAGCCCAGGGUGAGCGAUCCCCUGGAGGGGAGGCGCCUCGCAGCGCCCGGGAGCGGGUUGUGUGACGUGGAGAAUCCAGCGGGCAUGCGAGCAGUGCAAAAACACGUGUUAAACUUCAAGGAUUUGUGGGACGAAUAAUGCAAAAUACGUGUUAAACUUCAAGGAUUUGUUGGACUGCCCCUUCCCCCAGCCACCCCCACCCCCAGCUUCGGAGGCGCUGUGUAAAAGCUGCUAAAUCGCCCCUUAACUCCGCAGCGGUCACUUGGGAAAACCCGGGACCUCGAAUGCGGAGCUAAAUUAGGACCGCAGGUGGUACAGUCUGCCAAAUAUUCAAGGGACUGCUGCUGUUUGGAAGGAGGCAAAUGCAGGUUUUAGUCAAAGGCAUGACUGAGUCGUGUGUGCUGGAAGAAACCCCAUGGAGUAAGAGACGAUCAUUGAAGGGAAAGGCUGUUUUUUGGAUCCAGAAGCAUCUGUGACCAGCAGUUUGGAUGAGGAGCAGAAGCAUUAGUGUGAAGGAUGAAAGAUCAUUUAAAAUAUGAAUAAGAUACUUCAAUUCCAGGUAAGCAACCUCAAAUUUCCUCAGAUUUGCUUGCAACAGGAGAAGCACAUGUACAGAUACUUAGCACAGAGCUGCUGAAAAGAGGUAGCUUGUUAAAUUUUCUGCCAUGUUCUAGCUAACUCUGUGUUAAAUGCA